UCCUGCGGAGACGCGGGAGUGCCUUCGGGAACUGUAAGACAGGUGCUGCAUGGCUGUCGUCAGCUCGUGUUGUGAAAUGUUGGGUUAAGUCCCGCAACGAGCGCAACCCUUAUCCUUGUUUGCCAGCACGUAAUGGUGGGAACUCCAGGGAGACUGCCGGUGAUAAACCGGAGGAAGGUGGGGACGACGUCAAGUCAUCAUGGCCCUUACGAGUAGGGCUACACACGUGCUACAAUGGCGCAUACAGAGGGCAGCAAGCUAGCGAUAGUGAGCGAAUCCCAAAAAGUGCGUCGUAGUCCGGAUUGGAGUCUGCAACUCGACUCCAUGAAGUCGGAAUCGCUAGUAAUCGUAGAUCAGAAUGCUACGGUGAAUACGUUCCCGGGCCUUGUACACACCGCCCGUCACACCAUGGGAGUGGGCUGCAAAAGAAGUGGGUAGUUUAACCUUUCGGGGAGGACGCUCACCACUUUGUGGUUCAUGACUGGGGUGAAGUCGUAACAAGGUAGCGCUAGGGGAACCUGGCGCUGGAUCACCUCCUUAUACGAAGAU
rnacentral:rRNA from 1 species